rnacentral:rRNA from 1 species
GACGUAGGGCGCGAGCGUUGUCCGGAUUUAUUGGGCGUAAAGAGCUCGUAGGCGGCUUGUUGCGUCGACUGUGAAAACCCGUGGCUCAACCAUGUGGUCUGCAGUCGAUACGGGCAGGCUAGAAUUCGGUAGGGGAGACUGGAAUUCCUGGUGUAGCGGUGAAAUGCGUAGAUAUCAAGUGGAACACCAGUGGCGAAGGCGAGUCCCUGGACACUUCCUGACACUGAGGCACGAAAGCUAGGGGAGCAAACAGG